CUCACACCAGCUGACAAAGUCCCUGAUAACCAUCUUGUAUUCCAGAUCGUUUCCCUCAGAAACAUAUCCAACAACAGUUGUGUCAUCGGAGAACUUUUGGAUGUGGCAGUGGGUGGUGUUGUGAGUGAAGUCUGAGGUGUAGAGGGUGAAAAGGAAUGGGGAGAGCACCGUACCCUGAGGGCCACCUGUGCUGCAGAGCACCAUGUCAGACUCACAUUGAUGGAGCCUCACAUACUGUGGUCUGUUGGUGAGAUAGUCUGUUGUCCAUUCAGCCAGGUGUUAGUCCACUCCAACACUCUCCAUGUUCACUCUGAGCAGCGAUGGCUGGAUGGUGUUGAAUGCACUGGACAAAUAAAAAAAUGUGAUUCUCUCAGUGCCGCCGCCGCCAUCCAGGUGCAAAUGAGCUCGCUGCAGCAGAUAGAUGACAGCAUCGUCCACUCCCAGAAGCAAAUAUUCUGUUGCCGUUCACUAAGUGCAUGGGAGUUUGUCAUGUCUUUUUGUUAAAUUU